GACGAACGCUGGCGGCGUGCUUAACACUUGCAAGUCGAACGGAAAGGCCCUGCUUUUGUGGGGUGCUCGAGUAGCGAACGGGUGAGUAACACGUGAGUAACCUGCCCUUGACUUUGGGGUAACUUCAGGAAACUGGGGCUAAUACCGGAUAGGAGCUCCUGCUGCAUGGUGGGGGUUGGAAAGUUUCGGCGGUUGGGGAUGGACUCGCGGCUUAUCAGCUUGUUGGUGGGGUAGUGGCUUACCAAGGCUUUGACGGGUAGCCGGCCUGAGAGGGUGACCGGCCACAUUGGGACUGAGAUACGGCCCAGACUCCUACGGGAGGCAGCAGUGGGGAAUAUUGCACAAUGGGCGGAAGCCUGAUGCAGCAACGCCGCGUGCGGGAUGACGGCCUUCGGGUUGUAAACCGCUUUCGCCUGUGACGAAGCGUGAGUGACGGUAAUGGGUAAAGAAGCACCGGCUAACUACGUG
rnacentral:rRNA from 1 species